UACGUAGGUGGCAAGCGUUGUCCGGAAUUAUUGGGCGUAAAGCGCGCGCAGGCGGUCCUUUAAGUCUGAUGUGAAAGCCCACGGCUCAACCGUGGAGGGUCAUUGGAAACAGGGGGACUUGAGUGCAGGAGAGAAGAGUGGAAUUCCACGUGUAGCGGUGAAAUGCGUAGAGAUGUGGAGGAACACCAGUGGCGAAGGCGGCUUCCUGGGCUGUUCUUGACGCUGAGGCGCGAAAGCUAGGGGAGCAAACGGG
rnacentral:rRNA from 1 species